UACGGAGGGUGCAAGCGUUGUCCGGAUUUAUUGGGGUUAAAGGGUGCGUGGGCGGCUAAUUAAGUCAGCGGUGAAAUUCCACAGCUCAACUGUGGAACUGCCAUUGAUACUGGUUGGCUUGAGUACAGAUGAGGUAGGCGGAAUUGACAGUGUAGCGGUGAAAUGCUUAGAUAUUGUCAAGAACACCUAUUGCGAAGGCAGCUUACUAAGCUGUAACUGACGCUGAGGCACGAAAGCGUGGGGAUCAAACAGG
rnacentral:rRNA from 1 species